UUGUGGAGGAGGACGCCGAAGGUGGGGCUAAUGACUGGGGUGAAGUCGUAACAAGGUAGCCGUACCGGAAGGUGCGGCUGGAUCACCUCCUAACAGGGAGACAACAAAAUGUAAAUAUUAAUUUUGUCACCUUAGGUCGAUCGGUAUCUCAGAUUCUUAUUUUUUAAGAAUUUCAGUUUCUAAGUUUUUUCUAGGUCACACCCAUCACUUUUUCCUGGGCCAUUAGCUCAGGUGGUUAGAGCGCACCCCUGAUAAGGGUGAGGUCCCUGGUUCAAGUCCAGGAUGGCCCAUAUCUCUAUGUUGGGGGUAUAGCUCAGUUGGUAGAGCGCCUGCUUUGCAAGCAGGAUAUCAGCGGUUCGAGUCCGCUUACCUCCACUGAAUACCACCUCUUACAUAUAUUUAAAGAGGGAAAUUGUUUUGAGUCGUGUCCUAAUUUGCUCUGAGCGAAUCUAGCUUCCUAUUUGAUCAACAAAUAAGAUGCUGGACUCAUUGAUUUUUUUCAUUGUUUUCAGAGAACCUUGACAACUGCAUAGAUUAUUUUUGAAGACAAUAAGCAUCUUUAAUGAUGCAGAUUUAUUAUUUGUGCGAAUGAAUUAAAUAACAAUUCUAUUAAGCUGAUGCUUCAAUUAUUGAAGUUAUUGGUCAAGCUACAA
rnacentral:misc_RNA from 1 species